GAUGAACGCUGGCGGCGUGCCUAAUACAUGCAAGUCGAGCGAACGGACGAGAAGCUUGCUUCUCUGAUGUUAGCGGCGGACGGGUGAGUAACACGUGGAUAACCUACCUAUAAGACUGGGAUAACUUCGGGAAACCGGAGCUAAUACCGGAUGAUAUUUUGAACCGCAUGGUUCAAAAGUGAAAGACGGUCUUGCUGUCACUUAUAGAUGGAUCCGCGCUGCAUUAGCUAGUUGGUAAGGUAACGGCUUACCAAGGCAACGAUGCAUAGCCGUCCUGAGAGGGUGAUCGGCCACACAGGAACUGAGACACGGUCCAGACUCCUACGGGAGGCAGCAGUAGGGAAUCUUCCGCAGUGGGCGAAAGCCUGACGGAGCAACGCCGCGUGAGUGAUGAAGGUCUUCGGAUCGUAAAACUCUGCUAUUAGGGAAGAACAUAUGUGUAAGUAACUGUGCACAUCUUGACGGUACCUAAUCAGAAAGCCACGGCUAACUACGU
rnacentral:rRNA from 1 species